UUUGACCGGACGGAAACAAAAAAAGAAGAAAAAAAUGAGUAAAGAAGAGUUCAUGAAGAUUCAGGUACCACUUCCCAGAAGCUUUUAGAAAUUUCCCAUCUUUUGAACUUUUGCUUUAUAUGUUCUUGUUCAUGUAUAUGUGAACCAGAGUGAAUUCUUUUUCUUUUCUUUUUUGCAUUUAUGUUGGUCAUUAUGCUUUACUUCUCUACGGGUUUUUUAUUUUGGUUACUUGCGCAUGCAGACUUAUGUUCUGAAAGUGAACAUACACUGUGAUGGGUGUAAGCACAAAGUGAAGAAAAUCUUGCAGAAAAUUGAUGGUACUAAUAUUAUUGCUGCUCUUCAUGUUAUUUUUAAUUUUAAUAAACGUCCUUCAAAAAUAGUUCUCCUUGAUCUUCUUUAAUUUUGUAAUGCUUAAAGAAGAAAAAAAAAUCCAAUUUUGGGGUUGCGUAAUUUUGCUACAGGAGUAUUCACCACCAGCAUAGAUUCAGAACAGGGGAAGGUGACAGUAUCUGGUAAUGUAGACCCAUCGGUUCUGAUAAAGAAGCUUGCAAAAUCAGGCAAACAUGCAGAGCUUUGGGGCGCUCAAAAGGCUAACAACAACCAGAACAAUCUACCAAACCAGUUCAAGAACAUGCAACUUGACAAUGGCAAAGGUGGUAACAACAACAACAACAACAACAAAGGCCAGAAAGGUGGCAACAACAACAACAACAAUAACAAUCCUCCUAAAGGAGGCGGCGGAGGCGGAGGCCAGCAGCCAAACGCUCAACAGCAACUUCAGCAACAGCUGCAGCACCUGCAACAAAUAAAAGGGUUUCAAGAUCUGAAGUUGCCACCACAUUUUAAGGACAUGAAACUGCCUAGCAUGCCAAACCAAAGCCAAAACCAGAAGGCUGUCAAGUUUAAUAUUCCUGAUGAUGACGAAGAUUUUAGUGAUGAUGAGUUUGAUUAUGAUGAUGAGUAUGAUGACGAGUAUGAUGAUGACUUGGAUGAACCCCUUCCGCCGCUCAAUAAGAUGAAACCCAUCACGGGUAAUGGUGGCCCUCCGGGAAUGAUGCCUAAUAACAUGAUGAUGAUGAAUGGGAUCAAUCCCUUGAUGAAUGGGAUCAAUCCCCAGCUCAUGAAUGCUCAAAAGGGUGCUCCAAUUCCUGCUCAAAAUGCCAAGAAAGGUGGUAAUGGAGGGCCUAUGCCCGUCCAGGUAAAUAUGGCUAACAAUGAGGGUAAAAAUGGAAACGGAGGGAAGAAAGGUGGUCUUGGUGGUGGUGGUGGUGGUGGUGGUGGUGGUGGUGGGAAUCAGAAUGGAGCAAACAAUCAGAACCAAGGUGGCAAGAAUGGUAAAAAUGGUGGAGGGCAAAAUGGAAAUAAUGGAG
rnacentral:lncRNA from 1 species